UACGAAGGGGGCUAGCGUUGUUCGGAAUCACUGGGCGUAAAGGGCGCGUAGGCGGCUUUGUAAGUCUGGGGUGAAAGCCUGUGGCUCAACCACAGAAUUGCCUUCGAUACUGCAUGGCUUGAGACCGGAAGAGGUAAGUGGAACUGCGAGUGUAGAGGUGAAAUUCGUAGAUAUUCGCAAGAACACCAGUGGCGAAGGCGGCUUACUGGUCCGGUUCUGACGCUGAGGCGCGAAAGCGUGGGGAGCAAACAGG
rnacentral:rRNA from 1 species